AUCUUGCGCAAUGGGCGAAAGCCUGACGCAGCCAUGCCGCGUGAAGGAUGAAGGUCUUNGGAUUGNANAAUUCUUUCACCGGGGANGCUAAUGUCGGUACCUGGAGAAGAAGCCCCGGCUAACUUCGUGCCAGCAGCCGCGGUAAUACGAAGGGGGCUAGCGUUGCUCGGAAUUACUGGGCGUAAAGGGCGCGUAGGCGGAUCGUUAAGUCAGAGAUGAAAUCCCAGGGCUCAACACUGGAACUGCCUUUGAUACUGGCGAUCUUGAGUAUGAGAGAGGUAUGUGGAACUCCGAGUGUAGAGGUGAAAUUCGUAGAUAUUCGGAAGAACACCAGUGGCGAAGGCGACAUACUGGCUCAUUACUGACGCUGAGGCGCGAAAGCGUGGGGAGCAAACA
rnacentral:rRNA from 1 species